UACACACAUGUUUCGUAUUAAAUUUCAUUUGGAAUAUUUGGGAUCAUCAUGGAAAUUUGCCGAAUAUAUUGCCAAGGGGUAUAUAAAAGAUCGAGCGAAAAAUACUUAUUUGGUACUUCUUUUUUGGAAUUUAAGGUAUGUAAAUUAGUAUCUACGAUGUUUAA